UACGAGAGGCCCAAACGUUAUUCGGAAUUACUGGGCUUAAAGAGUUCGUAGGCGGCGCGGAAAGUGGGGUGUGAAAGCCCUCGGCUCAACCGAGGAACUGCGCUCCAAACUACCGUGCUCGAGGAGGAUAGAGGUAAGCGGAACUGAUGGUGGAGCGGUGAAAUGCGUUGAUAUCAUCAGGAACACCGGAGGCGAAGGCGGCUUACUGGGUCCUUUCUGACGCUGAGGAACGAAAGCUAGGGGAGCAAACGGG
rnacentral:rRNA from 1 species